GAUGAACGCUGGCGGCGUGCCUAAUACAUGCAAGUCGAGCGAACAGACGAGGAGCUUGCUCCUCUGACGUUAGCGGCGGACGGGUGAGUAACACGUGGAUAACCUACCUAUAAGACUGGGAUAACUUCGGGAAACCGGAGCUAAUACCGGAUAAUAUAUUGAACCGCAUGGUUCAAUAGUGAAAGACGGUUUUGCUGUCACUUAUAGAUGGAUCCGCGCCGCAUUAGCUAGUUGGUAAGGUAACGGCUUACCAAGGCAACGAUGCGUAGCCGACCUGAGAGGGUGAUCGGCCACACUGGAACUGAGACACGGUCCAGACUCCUACGGGAGGCAGCAGAAGGGAAUCUGCCGCAAUGGGCGAAAGCCUGACGGAGCAACGCCGCGUGAGUGAUGAAGGUCUUCGGAUCGUAAAACUCUGUUAUUAGGGAAGAACAAAUGUGUAAGUAACUAUGCACGUCUUGACGGUACCUAAUCAGAAAGCCACGGCUAACUACGUG
rnacentral:rRNA from 1 species